GACCCGGUAGCUUAACUGGUAGAGCUCCUGACACGUUAUCAGGGAGAUCCAGGUUCGAUUUCUGACUUGGCAACCA
rnacentral:tRNA from 1 species